rnacentral:ncRNA from 1 species
UAUUAGUAAGGGCAAACCUAUUUAAAAAUAGGGACGCAAAGCCUAGGGUCUAAGGUGCUGAAUAAGCGCUAUGAUAGCCUGGUUGCCGCA